CUCCUCUGGAGUUUUGCAGCAAGCCCAGGUCUUCUCCAAAGCAAAGUUUUCUGCAAGAGCCAUCCUUUCUCCAUCUUCUCGCCCCAAGCACAGAGAUGAAGAUCUUUCUUCUCUUACUUUUAAGAAAGGAUACAUGCGAUGAUUCCCAUCUUGCAGUAACUGAACUAAGAGAAAAAGAUUUGUAGGCUUAAUCUUUCUCUGUGCUUCUUAUCACAGCUCUUCUUAUUUGAAUGACUUCGCAUUAAAAAACAGGAUGAAGAAAUGGACUUGCUCAACAGGGGAAACAGUAAAAAUUACACACAGCGAAGUGCUCUAGGUGCAUGAACUAAUCAAACAAGAGAAAACAGGCAUUAAAGAGCAGGAACAUCACACCUAGAGCAAGCCUUGAAUAGAUUGAAAGACCCUGAUCUCCUCUUACAGCCAGGAUUAUCACUCAGUAGUGAUUGCUUCUUAAAGAGGCGCUGCCUUUUGUGUGCUGUCUCGUGUAUGAGAUCUUGACAAGCAGGAAGGGAAACUUAGGAUCUCACAGUAUGAUGUGGAAGAAAAGAAAUGUGAUUGUUUUUUCUAUUUUUAAAAAAAAGCAACGAAAGCACUGUUAAGUCAGAUGGGCACAUGCUUUGUGUAGCUCCCAAGGCCUAUCUGAAGAGUACAGUAUAAAAACAAAGCUUGGUGAAGAGGAAGCAGCUGCAGGAGUGAUAUAGAGCCCUUUCUUGUAAACAAAGAGCACCACCAAAUCUGUUGGAGCAUGAAUAUUAGAUUUGCUGACUUUUGCUGACAUCACUGGGGGAGAUAAACAUAUUACAAGGAGAGGAACAGCUUGUUGCUUGAGAGGUUGCCAGAUGAGAUAAGCGAAUGGCGAAAUGGCAAAUGAAGACAGGGUGCCCAUCCUGACUGGCUGAGCAUAGCUGAGAGUUGCAACUCGGUGAAGUGCUGUAGUGAACGUAACUGCUCUGGAACAAGUGGAUAAAAAUGAACUAUGAAGCUCUUUUUUCCUAAUAACGAAGAGCUAACAGCUGCUUCCAUCUGGGAACUGUGUGAAAGUGCCUUACAGCUGUACAAUAAUAAACAGCUAAAAACUCCGCAGAGCCUACUGCUCCAUUUACAUUCUUUCCCAAUCUUUUGCCUCAUUAAACUGUAAUCUUCCUCCUAAUUAUAUUUCAUCAAUCUAUUGUUUAUGGAACUCUAGAUCAAAUGGCAAACAUAUUGAAACAAAAAUAAACUUAUAAUUAGUUGUCUUCUCCUCACCCCUCCUCCCUGUGUAUUAGCAAGUGCAUCAUUAUCAGGCCCCAGGGGUUUGGUGAGGCAAUCAGUUUACAUGGUGCACUUUUGGCAGCAAAGAAUAAAAAAAACAUUUGUAGCUGCAUAAUAUGAUUUACCAGCUCUAGGGCUCCAGGGUCUACACUUCCAUAAAUAUAUGUGACAAAUUAUCAAUAAAUCAUUCUCUGGUCUACCAUAUUGCAUAAUGUUUAUUGAAACCCAGUUCUAAUAAAUAUAAAAGUCACCUUUUUUAUCCAAAGCAUAAGAAACAAAGAUGACAGUGAUUACAAACAGAAAUGAAAAAUGAGAAAUAAGUCCCUUCACAAGCAACAAACCCUUUUUCUCUAGCAUCGUUACAGCCUCAGUGUUGUUGGCCUCUAAAAUCUGCCUUGAAAACAGAUAUGACCUCCAAGCUGUGAUUCUGUUCUUUGAUUAUGACAGAUAUUGUUCUUCUGAUUUUGUUUGUUAUUCGUGUAGUUCCCAUGUCUGAUUCUUGAUCUCUGAAGAAAUCAGCCCAGUACUUUUUCAGCACACCAAUCAGAACUACAUUAGAAAUGGUAAAAUUCUUCCAAACUUGUCCAAUCAUAGAUCAGCCAAGCACACUGAAACUGCUGGUUUUGUUCAUUGCAAGAAAUUGUUUGAAAAAGGAAACAAAGGGAAAACCAGAACAUUUGCAUGUUAUUUAAU